AUUGAACGCUGGCGGCAGGCUUAACACAUGCAAGUCGAGCGGGGUGAUGGUGCUUGCACUAUCACUUAGCGGCGGACGGGUGAGUAAUGCUUAGGAAUCUGCCUAUUAGUGGGGGACAACAUCUCGAAAGGGAUGCUAAUACCGCAUACGUCCUACGGGAGAAAGCAGGGGAUCACUUGUGACCUUGCGCUAAUAGAUGAGCCUAAGUCGGAUUAGCUAGUUGGUGGGGUAAAGGCCUACCAAGGCGACGAUCUGUAGCGGGUCUGAGAGGAUGAGCCGCCACACUGGGACUGAGACACGGCCCAGACUCCGACGGGAGGCAGCAGUGGGGAAUAUUGGACAAUGGGGGGAACCCUGAUCCAGCCAUGCCGCGUGUGUGAAGAAGGCCUUAUGGUUGUAAAGCACUUUAAGCGAGGAGGAGGCUACUUUAGUUAAUACCUAGAGAUAGUGGACGUUACUCGCAGAAUAAGCACCGGCUAACUCUGUGCCAGCCGCCGCGGUAA
rnacentral:rRNA from 1 species